CAUCAGGGCGCGCGCAGCAGAAAGCGCUGUGGUUGCCGGAAGUUGAGUGUUGACUGGAGUGCAAUGGCAAGAUAUCUUGGCUCACUGCAAUGUCUGCCUCCCAUGUUCAAGCAGUCCUCCUUCAGCCUCCCAAGUAACUGGGAUUACAGUAGGCAAGAAAUAAUGGCAGCAACUACAGAGGAUCCUGGACUCUCUAAACUGCAGUUUGCCCCCUUUAGCAGUGCCUUGGAUGUUGGGUUCUGGCAUGAGUUGACCCAGAAGAAGCUGAAUGAGUAUCGGCUGGAUGAAGCUCCCAAGGACAUUAAGGGUUAUUACUACAAUGGUGACUCUGCUGGGCUGCCAGCUCGCUUAACAUUGGAGUUCAGUGCUUUUGACACGAGUGCUCCCACCCCAGCCCGUUGCUGCCCAGCUGUUGGAACACUCUAUAACACCAACACACUCGAGUCUUUCAAGACUGCAGAUAAGAAGCUCCUUUUGGAACAAGCAGCAAAUGAGAUAUGGGAAUCCAUAAAAUCAGGCGCUGCUCUUGAAAACCCUGUACUCCUCAACAAGUUCCUCCUCUUGACAUUUGCAGAUCUAAAGAAGUACCACUUCUACUAUUGGUUUUGCUAUCCUGCCCUCUGUCUUCCAGAGAGUUUACCUCUCAUUCAGGGGCCAGUGGGUUUGGAUCAAAGAUUUUCACUAAAACAGAUUCAAGCACUUGAGUGUGCAUAUGAUAAUCUUUGUCAAACAGAAGGAGUCACAGCUCUUCCUUACUUCUUAAUCAAGUAUGAUGAGAACACAGUGCUGGUUUCCUUGCUUAAAUGCUACAGUGAUUUCUUCCAAGGUCAAAGGACAAAGAUAACAAUUGGUGUAUAUGAUCCCUGUAACUUAGCCCAGUACCCUGGAUGGCCUUUGAGGAAUUUUUUGGUCCUAGCAGCCCACAGAUGGAGUAGCAGUUUCCAGUCUGUUGAAGUCCUUUGCUUCCGUGACCGUACCAUGCAGGGGGCGAGAGAUGUUGCCCACAGCAUCAUCUUCGAAGUGAAGCUUCCAGAAAUGGCAUUUAGCCCAGAUUGUCCUAAAGCAGUUGGAUGGGAAAAGAACCAGAAAGGAGGCAUGGGACCAAGGAUGGUGAACCUCAGUGAAUGUAUGGACCCUAAAAGGUUAGCUGAGUCAUCAGUGGAUCUAAAUCUCAAACUGAUGUGUUGGAGAUUGGUCCCUACAUUAGACUUGGACAAGAUUGUGUCUGUCAAAUGUCUGCUGCUUGGAGCCGGCACCUUGGGUUGCAAUGUAGCUAGGACAUUGAUGGGUUGGGGCGUGAGACACAUCACAUUUGUGGACAAUGCCAAGAUCUCCUACUCCAAUCCUGUGAGGCAGCCUCUUUAUGAGUUUGAAGAUUGCCUAGGGGGUGGUAAGCCCAAGGCUCUGGCUGCAGCGGACCGGCUCCAGAAAAUAUUCCCUGGAGUGAAUGCCAGGGGAUUCAACAUGAGCAUCCCCAUGCCUGGGCAUCCAGUGAACUUCUCCAGUGUCACUCUGGAGCAAGCCCGCAAGGAUGUGGAGCAACUGGAGCAGCUCAUCGAAAACCAUGAUGUUAUUUUUCUGUUGAUGGACACCAGGGAGAGCCGGUGGCUUCCUGCCGUCAUUGCUGCAAGCAAGAGAAAGCUGGUCAUCAAUGCUGCUUUGGGAUUUGACACAUUUGUUGUCAUGAGACAUGGCCUGAAGAAACCAAAGCAGCAAGGAGCUGGGGACUUGUGUCCAAACCACCCUGUGGCAUCUGCUGACCUCCUGGGCUCAUCACUUUUUGCGAACAUCCCUGGUUACAAGCUUGGCUGUUACUUCUGCAAUGAUGUGGUGGCCCCAGGAGAUUCAACCAGAGACCGGACCUUGGACCAGCAGUGCACUGUGAGUCGUCCAGGACUGGCCAUGAUUGCAGGAGCCCUGGCCGUGGAAUUGAUGGUAUCUGUUUUGCAGCAUCCAGAAGGGGGCUAUGCCAUUGCCAGCAGCAGUGACGAUCGUAUGAAUGAGCCUCCGACCUCUCUUGGGCUCGUGCCUCACCAGAUCCGGGGAUUUCUUUCACGGUUUGAUAAUGUCCUUCCCGUCAGCCUGGCAUUUGACAAAUGUACAGCUUGUUCUUCCAAAGUUGGUCUUGAACUCCUAAGCUCAAGUAAUCCUAUAGGCGUGAGCCACGAGCCUGGCCCAAACAGUGUUUCAGUGAGCAUCCUUACAAUGUUCUUGAUCACUAUGAACAAGAAGGAUUUAAUUUCCUAGCCAAGGUGUUUAAUUCUUCACAUUCCUUCUUAGAAGACUUGACUGGUCUUACAUUACUGCAUCAAGAGACCCAAGCUGCCGAGAAAAAAAAUCCCUAUGUGCCAAUCAUAGGCUUCUGACCGGCAUGGGCUCACAACCCUGUUACCACCAACUGUGCAGGACCCCAGCUCAAGGCAAGGAAAGCAACCUGACAAUUCCCUUCAUCCGAGUGACCUUCUAAUGGAGAAACAGGACUCCCAUGAGGAUGAGUACACUGACCCUAAGACAAGCAGGCCUGCCACAGAAGACUGCGGUGAAAACACCUCAGCACACCAUCCUGUACUGUGGAAGGAAAGAGACGAAGCCCCAGUGACACUGACCUUGUCCAAGGCAUGAGUGCUAAGAAAGGCCCAGGCAGGUCUGGGUAGGAAGUAAAAGCAGAAGAGGAGGACUCCUGUUCUGCUGUCCCUUAUCCUAAGGACAUAACAGAAGCUAAGGGUGGCAUCCCUCACUACUGCCCUCGGGGUCCUCUGUUCGGGACUCUCCAUUCAGCUUAGUCCUCCAGCCCCUGGACUCUCCCAGCCACCCUCCCGGACAGAGGCCCACCUGUUGCCGCUCCCCUGGGGUCAGUGUGGGCGAGAGGCCGGCCUGCCUGCUAGCAUCCAGGCUGUUCUUGGUUAGUGCGAGGGGCUGCUCCAGGCCAAGGCUGGGGAGGGACGUGUACAGGUGGCUGCCGUGCAGGCUCAUGGUAGGUGCCACGGCACGCUCAAUGGGGCUGCGGCUCCGCUCCCGGGGGUCUUUGCGGCAGUCUCCGUUGGUAGUCUUGUUCCUGAAAAAGAGGAAUAAGCCUUCAGAGGAGAAUCCCUGGCAAUUUUCUGAAAGGCAAAAGGGACAGUGUCUGUGUGCCAGGCCCUCCAUGUUACUUGUUUUUUCACCCUAAAGCUCAGGUCGCAUGGUCCGGGAGCACAGUGAAGAGCUGGCUGCCAGCCCUGGUCAGCCCAACACCAAAGCCUUUGGGUGCCGGGGCGGCUGCUGCCAGUGGAGUCCAAAGCCAGCUCCACAGAAGAUGGAGCCCCCAACUCUGUGGUGUCCUCUGCCCAACUCUCUGUUCACUUCUAUAAUAAUUCUAUAAUUCUAUAAUAAUCUCCACUCCCUGGGAACAUGGAGAGCUGGAGGCCAAGCUGGUUUGAUAAGGACCUGCCAUUUAGAUAGGAUGGGGUUGCAACUGCACCCUACACGCCAGGCCCUGUUCUAAGCCUCCACAGUACUGCUUACCCAUAUUCCCAAUAGCACUAAGCAGGCAAUGCCAUCAUCACCUGCUUUCCUGACAAGAACUCAGACUGGUGGAAUAACCAGCUCAGGCUGCUGGCCAACACGUGGCAGCAUCUGCUCUGGUGCUCCUGGUAAACUAUUCUCCGGUCAGGAGAACAGGGAGAGCCAGUGCGCAGCUCUCCCGUCCAGGACCACCAGCAAGAGUGACCUGCUUCCAGAAGGCCCAUCACUAGCCCUGGCCAUGUGCUGAGCUCUCAGGCGAUGCCACAUGGCAUCCAGGUGAGACGGUCGGUACCACCUCCAUCCCAUGUGUUAGUCUGAAGGCAUUGUGAUGUGUUGUGUCUAUUAGACACUGACCCCCGACCCAGGUAAGGCACAGCCAGUCCUGGUCCACCCUCCCCACUUCAUUCCAUCUUCCCAACAGCACUGAGCAGGCAAUGCCGCCACCUCCCCCUUCCCAGAUGAGAACCCCGAGACUCAGACUGAUCAACAACCAGCUCAGGCUGCUAGCCGACCCGUGGCAUCUGCUCUGAUGCCACAGAUUCUAGGAGUCCCACAAUUCCUUCUGCCUUGGGUCUUGCCCCUUGAAUCCACCAUGUCCUCCACUGACAGAGUAAUCUUUUUCCUUAAUAAGCUGGUCUUUUCGAGAAAAAUGUGUGAAUCAUGAUUUCAGUGAAUUUUCUUUAAGAAACACAAAUUAUUUACAGAGUCUGCAAGUAGUCACCUGUCUUUAACUAGCAGAAAAGACUGAGCUUGCCCUGGUGAAGGAACAGCCACAGCCCCACUCCCAGACUGGCUUAAUCUCUCUCUCUCUCUCUCUCUCUCUCUCUCUCUCUCUCUCUCUCUCUCUCUCACACACACACACACACACACACACACACACACACACACACGCAGGUGACAGGCAUACCUUUCUAAUACUGUAGAUUAACGUGCAGUAGUAAGAAACAACACGGAGCCAUCCCAUGCAUCCUUGACCCUGACUCCCCCGAUGGUGAUGUCUGGUGAAAUGUAGUACAAUAUCACAACCAGGAUAUCGACAAUGAGACAACUACUAGCCUUAUUCAGAUUUUCUGCUUUGCUUGUAUCCAUUCCAGAGCAGCCUCUUUAUAAGGCAAAUCCAACCACAUCCAGUCCUUAAUGUUUUUAGCAGCUCAGCACUGGCCAUGGUGGCCUCUGGCCCUGGCCACCUUCCCAUCCUCACCUCUGGCUCCACACCUCCAAAUGUUGUGCUCCAUAGUUCCAACCGUCUAUAUGCAUGCCACUGCUCAAAUAAGACACAUCCAACUCUAUGCCUCUGUGGCUGUGUACAUGUGGUGCUGCUCCGGCCUCCCUCCUCCCUUUUCCUGCACUGUCAACCACAGCUGCAGUGUUCUGAAUCCUGAAGCGCCCUGUGCAAACCUUGAAUAUGGAACCCAUCACCCACUGUCAAUGGUCUCUUCAUCUAGGAACCUGCCCCUCCCCACAUGCAGGAGCCUCCGAGGGUGCUAGUUGAGUCCCACCUAUCUCAUUACCCUUGCUACCUUUGGCGCAGAGUGACUUGAUGAAUGAAUGAAGAGAAACUGCGCAUGGGUGACGGGAUAAGAAAGGCAGGUAUUAUGGAGGGGAACUGUGGAUGGGCAGAGUUGUGGAGAGCUGGAGGGCUGAGGACUCAACUGGAAGCGUGUUCAAGCCUUCAGAUGAACUCUGCAGCCCCAUCAGUGAGCUGUUAAGGGCUCAGAAGAAGCACGAGAGAGCCUGAGUGCAGCCUCGGCUGUGAUGUCAUGAUGUCACUCUGUGCCAUCUCUAGCAGGGGCAUGCACUCAGCUUGCCACUUAGUGCCCCUGAGGCAUUCCGAGCCUCGGCGUCCUCAAGCAAUCGUGGUCAUAGUAAGAUCCACCCACAGGGCUCUAAAUGAGGGACGAACAGGACCACAAAUGUAAACAAUCAUGACGCGCACUGCAAUCAUCAGUGAGUACCAAGAGAACCCCAUCAGUCCUAAGCUGCGUGUACUGAUUAUAGGGUGCGUAGCUGGACAGCACCCAGCAUUCCUUUACGCAUUUUUCUCCUUUUAUUCUCUGGCUGAUGACACAAAAUGUCUUAAAAGCAAUUAGGGAAUAAACAUUCAGCCCGUUAAGACAAACACAGAAGACAGUGUUCUGGCCAGUCUAGAUAGUAGGUUCUACCUGCGCCACACACAUCCCGGCAAUUUUCCAAACAUUAAAAUAAAAUAUUAAUAAUAAAGUUUAUACUGAAACCAGCCUGUCCAUAAUGUCAUCUGUCUGCGGCUAUUCAGAAGACAGCACAGGUUUCUGCAAUGAAAUGCCUCAAGGGUUACGAUCCCAGACGUCACAGAAGAACUUGCCACUGAACGGACGUCAGGCCAAGGAGGCCUGAGAUCCUCUGGCUUCUACCUAAACAGGGCUUUGGUUCCUGAACACUCAGUUCAUCAGUGUCACCACACACACUCACCUUCGGCAUCCCGCUCCCUUUUAAAUUCAGAUAAGACACAAUUUCUUUUUUAACAUGAGUGAAUGGAUUCCCCAACACAGUCUUCUCUCUACCCAAGCUGAUGCUUCCAUGGGCUGCCUCAUGAAGAGCACAGACCUGGGGGCUGAAUCCUGAAUCGUCAUGGAUUCGUGAGAGCCUCAGACACAGUCUGCCUCUGAAUUUAGAUUUCUGUUUAUUCAACCAGUGCUAGUUGCAUCCCUUCCUGGGAGGUUACAGAAAGGAAGCCACAGCCCUGCCUUCUCAUGGGCCUACAAUCUAGCAGGGACAGAAGGGCCUGGGAGGAGCUGUGGCUCCCCAGUGACGGCUGUGGCUCCAGGCGAGGUGGCGCCGCCAUGGGAGCUGGCACAGGGCUGCAGAAGUCCAAGGAUGAAGACACUCCCGGGUGGCAAGGAGGAGCAGCCUGAAGCUCAGGCCGUGUCUGCCCACAGCCAAAACCAAGGUUGUGGUACAUAAGGCGUUGCCCACCCUCGCACCUUAUGUCCUAGGGGCACAGCACCGUCACCUGGAUGACUCAGCUGCAACUUGGGAAAUCCAAGCAUGACUAUAAGACCACAUCACAGAGGAGAGGGAUGCCAGGGCCACCAGCUGCCAGGGCAGAGGUGAGGAUGGGGCAGCCUGCACCUAAAUCUGUGUUCCCAUGGCCCCACUGUGCGCCCACCCUACGCAAGGCAGUGGGGAGAAGGGGACUUCCAGGCACACUAACCGGAAAGAUAGUCCAUGGAACACAGUGCAGUGGGCACAACAGUCAGACAAAGACACUGAAAACACAGUGAGACAAGGCCCAGAGAACUGGCUGGUUAAUUUUAGUAAAAUUAUACAUUACUCACAUUUCCAGCUCAUUUUCCUGGUUCCCGGAGCUUCAAAACAGACAUUGUUUUCUAGGCCCCACUCCCCCGGGUGAAUCACCUCCAGGCCACUGCUUCCCAGGGGUCACAUGCUCACGGGGAUGGCAGAAAACCGCAUGCAUCCUGCCCGAGAGAUGAGGGUCGCCUCCGCUCCUGGUCAGGACUGUGCCUGGGAGAGCCCACUACAUCCCCUCGAGCACCCAAAGGAUUCUCAGUGGCUCUGCAGCCGGCCCAUCAGAGCUGCUGAGGUUGCACGGCACCCAGCCCUGCCCUGGGCCUCGCGCCCAUCCUAGGUGGGCACUUCCACUGCCGCUGCCUCAGAGAGAAAGAUGGAAAGAGGAAGGAGGGAGAGAGAGGCCUCCAACACUAUCAUUCAGGACAGAGUUUUCUGAGGACUGAAGGCCACACGCUCUCCAAGCUGAGAAGCCAAGAAUGUCUACAGCGUUUGGGGAAAAGUAAACCAGAUUCUAAGCAGUAACACUGAAAGAAUUCAUCAUGUGAAAAGUGUUCUGCAUCUGUUUGAUACUCAUUAACAUGAGUUUCCUACCCUUCAACAAACACGCUCCGGGCUGCUCAGCCCACUUAGCCCCAUCACGUGGCAUUCUGAGCCUGCACUGGGCUGCAUUCACCAUGGACCGCCAUGAGCUACACUGAUCGGAGUUCUUCUGGCUGAAAAGGAGGGAUGGGCAUAGGAUAUUUUGAGGAUAUAUUCUGGAGUCCCUGAAGGCCCCUGGGCACCAUGGCAGGGCAGAGGCUCCCACCCAGUGAUAGAGGCGAGACCCAAGCUAGCCUCUGGGCCAGGCCUCCCAUAAAACAACACCCUGAGGUGGCAGAGCAACCUGUCCCCAUGCCAGGCCUCACCUCAGCAGAAGAAGACUGAAGGCUGUGUGGUGACAUCCCCCAAGCAGAGUUUGGUGGAGACAGAGAUUCAAAGGAAGAGGGACCGGGGAGAUGGGAGGCAGGGGCGGCACAGAGCUAAGACACAGUGCGUCUCUAGCCCUCUCCUCCUCUCCCUCUCCCCACAGCAGUUACAGGAGAAUCUGAGCUCUGAGAACUGACAGGACAGCUGGACGCUAACAUGGUAAAUCAUCAUGAGGUUGCUGGCUGGGCAUGGUGGCGUGCACCUGUGUUCCCAGCUACUUAGAGGCUGAGGUGGGAGGAUCGCUUGGGCCCAGGAGGUAGAGGCUGCAGUGAACUAUGAUCACGCCACUGCACUUAGCCUGGGUAACAGAGCGAGACCCUGUCUUUAAAUAAGGUUGCUAGCACAUCUUUAAUCUUAAAAAGCUUCCUCCGAAACAGACUUAAUGCCACUGAAAGGUACACUUAAACCUGGUUAACGUGGUUAGCUGUGUGCUAUGCUAAUUUACCACAAUUAAAAAAGUAAUAACAUUUUAAAUGAAUAAGAUAGAAAGAACUUCCUCCUGGCUGGGCGUGGUGGCUUAUGCCUGUAAUCCCAGCACUUUGGGAGUCCUAGGCAGGUGGAUCACAAGGUUAGGAGUUCAAGACCAGCCUGGCCAAGAUGGUGAAACCCUGUCUCUACUAAACACACACAAAAAAUUAGCUGGGCUUCGUGGCAUGUGCCUGUAGUCCUAGCUACUCAGGAGGCUGAGGCACGAGAAUUGCUUGAACCAGAGAGGCGGUUGCGGUGAGCCAAGAUGGCACCAAUGCACUCUAGCCUGGGAGACAAGUGAGACUCCAACUCAAAAAAAGGGGCAAGAGCUUCCUCCCAAGCUUUACCUGAUACCCCCUGGGGUUUCUGAUGUGAACAGGGCAGGUCAGCACCAUCCCAGUUCUACAGAGAGAUGACCAGGAGGGAGAAAAUGAAGGCUUUGCCUAUACAUGCUGCCCACCACAGACAUCAGCCCUGUGGCAUCAGCAGCUCAGGGUCCUCACACCAGGCCACCCAGAGACUCUCCAUCACCUCCCAGCUGCGCCCCAAGUUUCCAGGAUGCCUUCCUGACCCACCAGCUCCAUUUCUACCCAGCUUCCCAUGCAACUCCAGAGAUGCAGGAAAGCAGCAGUUCGGAGACGCCUGCUGCCAAAGCCUGCCCCAGACAGUCCCGCCAUGCUCCUUUCUCAAUCAGUAAGCUCCCGCCACACAGCUCCCAGGGGACAGACACUGUCAGACUCCUGGGAGGGCCAACACUGCAGCCCCCACACCCUAAUCUCCUCGGCUCAGCACGGGUGACCACUGUCUACAGAAUAAAUGAAUCAUUAAGGUACACAUAUAUGUGUGAGUCCAGUUAACAGUAUUUGUGGCAAAUGACAAGGGAGUUAAGGGCAUUUCAGAGAAAAUGACUGGCAGAAAAGACUUUCCUCUGAAAAAGCAGAAUUUAAGGAACAUUUAAAUCUUGGGCAUAAACAGUGGUGAGACAUUUUCUCCCUUCAGUUCCUUUCUCCAGCUUCUGCUGUCCUCCUCGCCUGCUCCCCACUUCUAAAUGUCCCCAAGGUCAUCCAAAGUGCCCUACAACACACACAAAGGAAUGAACUCAUCGCUGUGGCUUCUCUCCUCUUGUGAGGGGGAGAAUUCACUGCUUCCCAGAAGGCAAUAAGGCGCUUGGGUGUGUCUCCAAGACAUCCUGGUCAAGAUGUGUCACUCCUCUGUGCCAAUUUUAGAUGGGAAGUGGGGAUGGUGGUUGCAAAGGAAGGCCUGGGUGAAGAUGAUGUUUGCAGAGGUGGCUGCGGCUGAGGCAGAGACACACUCCUAGGUACAAAUGGCAAGAAGUGUGUCGUGGGCAGGAAAAAGCUGGGAAGCACCGGCAUUCAGACUGUCCCAAAGACAGAGAUGACCUUGAGGCUCCUGGCUUCAACAGUAGGCCCAUCCUCACCAGCAGGGACACAGGACGAGACUGUCUCUGCCUUUACAUGUCAGCCAACUACUGCCAUCACUUAACACUGCUUAAUAAUUGAGAAAAAGCCCCCACAAUGUCAAGGGAAUCAAACCUGUGUGUGAAUGCCACCACGGCCAGCUGAUCACAUCACUGCCACAACCAUUCACCCACAUAAUGUUUCCCUCGUUCACUCCGCACAAAGGGGCCAGGUGCAGUGACUCACACCUAUAAUACCAGCACUUUGAGAGGCCAAGGCAGGCGGAUUUAUUGAGGCUAGGAGUUUGGGCAACAUGGCAAAAUCCAUCUCUACAAAAAAUACAAAAAUUAGCUGGACAUCGUGGCAGGAGCUGUAAUCCCAGAUACUCGGGGGAAAGGCUGGAGCUGGGAAGUUAAGGCAGAGUGAAUUAUCAUGGAGCCACUGCACUCCAGCCUGGGCAGAGGGUGAGACCUGUCUUAGAAAAUAAAAAUAAAAUACUCCCCACAAAGGUAGUGUCCCUCUUUUUGCUGGUUCAUAUUUCAGAAAUCAACUCCAUGGACCAGGCAACACAAAACUCAUUUGCUCCACGUAUCUUGAGCAGCGGUGGCCUGCGGUCCCAGUGUAGAGAAGCAUAUUGGCUGGGCACAGUGGCUCACGCCUGUAAUCCCAGAUGGCUUUAGCCCAGGAGUUUGAGACCAGCCUGGGCAACAUAGUAAAACCCUGUCUGCACUAAAAAUACAAACAUUAUCCAGGCGUGAUGUCAUGUUACCUGUGGCCCCAGCUACUCGGGAAGCUGAGGUGGGAGGCUCACCUGAGCCCAGGGGGUGGAGGUUGCAGUGAGCCAAGAUCUGUACCACUGUACUUUCAGCCUGGGUGACAGAGUGAGACCCUGUCUCAAAAAAAAAAAACAAAACAAACCUGGGGAAUCUCUAAGUAAGUGAUUUAUGUUGAUGAUCUUUAUCAUCAGCAGCUCUCAUUUAUGGAAGGUAACAUGCCCAAUCAUAUGCUAGACCUUAUCUUACUAAAUUCACGGCCCCACUGCAAAAUAAGUAUCAUCACCCCAUUUUACAAAUAAGUAAACUGAGCUUUAGAGAAGCUAAGUAACUUUUCUAAGUUUAUAAAACUCAUACAAUGAUUCUGAUAUAUAUUGGACUGGCUCCAAAGCCUUUCCAUUUUCCGGGUGGGAGGAAAACACAAAGGCCGAUGGACCCACCACUCAGAAGCAGCAAAUGAAAAUGUGCUCUCAUAUUUGCUUCGGGCCUUUUCUCUCCUCUAGCCGUGAUGAAAGCAGCAGAACAUGCAGACGCAUGAGGUCCCUGCUCCAGGCCCUCCUCAGUCCCAUUCCCCUCUCUUCAUCCCCAGGGGCAUCCUCUGCUGCGGAUUUGGCUACCUGGGUGGCUGUCAUCCUCUUGCCACAUUGGAUGUGUCCGGAAGUAAUCCACAGCAUGCUUCACAUUCCAGCAUGCCAGCACACCAUAGGUCCUGUUGUACAACUGUGUCUUUCCCUCAUGUGGUCUUGGCACUCUACCCAUGUUCUGACACAGAGGCUGGGCUUAUCCAUGUUAUUUGCCUGCUCCAUGGUAUUCCUCACAUGAAGACACCACUGCAUACAUACCCGUUCCGCUACGGACCAGCGCCUGGUCACUCUUUGGUUUUUCCUUAUAAAAACAGCCCCACCAGCCAGGCGCAGUGGCUCAUACCUAUAAUCCCAGCACUUUGGGAGCCCAAGGCUCCCAAAAGGAUCACCUGAAGUCAGGAUUUUGAGACCAGCCUGACCAACAUGGUGAAACCCCUCUCUACUAAAGACAUAAAAAUGAGCCAGGUGUGGUGGUCUGCACCCGUAAUCCCAGCUACCUGGGAGGCUGAGUCAGGAGAAUCGUGAGCUAUUGCACUCUAGCCUGGGCCAAAGAGCAAGACUGUCUCAAAUUAAAAAAAGAAAAGAAAGAAGGCAGCCCCACAGUGCUUUAAGUCCUCAGACAUGUCUCCUGGUGCUAGGGACCAGGGCUUCUGACAU